rnacentral:rRNA from 1 species
GACGAACGCUGGCGGCGCGCUUAACACAUGCAAGUCGAACGGAAAGGCCUGCUUUCCCUUGUGGAUUGCGGGUACUCGAGUGGCGAACGGGUGAGUAACACGUGAGUGAUCUGCCCCCAACUUGGGUAUAAGCCUGGGAAACUGGGUCUAAUUCCCGAUAGGACUGCAGGGUGGUGCCUGUGGUGGAAAACGAUUUUCUAGUGGUUGGGGAUGAGCUCGCGGCCUAUCAGCUUGUUGGUGGGGUAAUGGCCUACCAAGGCGGCGACGGGUAGCCGGCCUGAGAGGGUGGACGGGCACAUUGGGACUGAGAUACGGCCCAGACUCCUACGGGAGGCAGCAGUGGGGAAUAUUGCACAAUGGGCGGAAGCCUGAUGCAGCGACGCCGCGUGGGGGAUGACGGCCUUCGGGUUGUAAACUCCUUUCGACCGCGAGGAAGCCACCUGGUUGGAAGGGUGGUGACGGUAGUGGUAGAAGAAGCACCGGCUAACUACGUG